UCCUAUGGGUAAGCAAAGAAAGUGGUUUCUUGAGAUGAAAUCUACUUGUGAUGAAGAUGCUGUGAC
rnacentral:pre_miRNA from 3 species